rnacentral:rRNA from 1 species
GUGAGGAAUAUUGCGCAAUGGAGGCAACUCUGACGCAGCCAUGCCGCGUGCAGGAAGAAGGCGCUACGCGUUGUAAACUGCUUUUAACCGGGAAGAAACCCCAGGACGUGUCCUGGGUUGACGGUACCGGAGGAAUAAGCACCGGCUAACUUCGUGCCAGCAGCCGCGGUAAUACGAAGGGUGCAAGCGUUAUCCGGAUUCAUUGGGUUUAAAGGGUGCGUAGGCGGAGCGUUAAGUCAGUGGUGAAAUCCUGCAGCUUAACUGUAGACUUGCCAUUGAUACUGGCGCUCUUGAGUGCACUGGAAGUGGGCGGAAUGUGCCGUGUAGCGGUGAAAUGCUUAGAUAUGGCACAGAACACCAAUUGCGAAGGCAGCUCACUAAGGCGAUACUGACGCUGAGGCACGAAAGCGUGGGGAUCGAACAGGAUUAGAUACCCGGGUAGUCC